GGUCUUGCUGUAUUGCCCAAGGCUGGAGGACAGUGAUGCAAUCAUGGCUCCCUGCAGCCUUGAUCUUCUGAGCUCAGUCCCUGCUUUGAUAACCACAGGCAGCUACGGGAAAGAGUGGGAAAAGUGAGAUAGUCCCAAGAAACAGGCAACAGCAGGGAACAAGAUGUGGCUGUGGCAAGCGGCCAGCCAUCCCCGGUGCCGAGGGACCUGGGAGAAGCUAGGGCAGCUCCGGCAUUGUUCCUGCCCUGUGGUCCACAGCCUCGUCUUCAUCUAGCGUCUGCACCCCCUAACCGUCUUUCCAAAGCCUCGGGGAUGGCAGGGAAACUGCAGGGCUUGGGAUCCCGCAGAACCAAAGAGUUGGGAGAAAUCUGCAAUUUUGAGACUGAAGGAACAAGCCUUGUCGUUAUGUUGACACUGAAAAUAGCUUUAUGCUUCCACUCAGUGCCAGCUGAGUCACGGUCCUACUGACAUCUCCUGCCCAUUCAGGGCUUCCCACAUUUCAUCUCCCAGACACACUCUCCUGGCCCUUGCCCUAUUCUCCUUAUUGUAUACUUAAUUUUUUAAUGAACUCUCUCCCUUCCCUUCCCUUUC
rnacentral:lncRNA from 1 species